UGGGCAACCUGCCCCAGACUCAGGGAUAACCCCCGGGAAACCGGGGCUAAUACCCGAUACUCCGAUCGAACCACAUGGCUUGAUCGGGAAAGCUCCGACGGUCUGGGAUGGGCCCGCGGCCUAUCAGCUUGUUGGUGGGGUAACGGCCUACCAAGGCGACGACGGGUAGCUGGUCUGAGAGGACGACCAGCCACACUGGGACUGAGACACGGUCCAGACUCCUACGGGA
rnacentral:rRNA from 1 species